rnacentral:rRNA from 1 species
GAUGAACGCUGGCGGCGUGACUAAUACAUGCAAGUCGAGCGAACGGACGAGAAGCUUGCUUUUCUGAUGUUAGCGGCGGACGGGUGAGUAACACGUGGAUAACCUACCUAUAAGACUGGGAUAACUUCGGGAAACCGGAGCUAAUACCGGAUAAUAUUUUGAACCGCAUGGUUCAAAAGUGAAAGACGGUCUUGCUGUCACUUAUAGAUGGAUCCGCGCUGCAUUAGCUAGUUGGUAAGGUAACGGCUUACCAAGGCAACGAUGCAUAGCCGACCUGAGAGGGUGAUCGGCCACACUGGAACUGAGACACGGUCCAGACUCCUACGGGAGGCAGCAGUAGGGAAUCUUCCGCAAUGGGCGAAAGCCUGACGGAGCAACGCCGCGUGAGUGAUGAAGGUCUUCGGAUCGUAAAACUCUGUUAUUAGGGAAGAACAUAUGUGUAAGUAACUGUGCACAUCUUGACGGUACCUAAUCAGAAAGCCACGGCUAACUACGUG